GUAAGCGGCGUGUGCCUAAUACAUGCAGUUCGUACGCACUGGCCCAACUGAUUGAUGGUGCUUGCACCGGGAUUGACGAUGGAUUACCAGUGAGUGGCGGACGGGUGAGUAACACGUGGGUAACCUGCCCCGGAGCGGGGGAUAACAUUUGGAAACAGAUGCUAAUACCGCAUAACAACGAAAACCACAUGGUUUUCGCUUGAAAGAUGGCUUAUGCUAUCACUCUGGGAUGGACCCGCGGUGCAUUAGCUAGUUGGUAAGGUAACGGCUUACCAAGGCGAUGAUGCAUAGCCGAGUUGAGAGACUGAUCGGCCACAAUGGAACUGAGACACGGUCCAUACUCCUACGGGAGGCAGCAGUAGGGAAUCUUCCACAAUGGGCGCAAGCCUGAUGGAGCAACACCGCGUGAGUGAAGAAGGGUUUCGGCUCGUAAAGCUCUGUUGUUGGAGAAGAAGUAUCUGAGAGUAACUGUUCAGGUAGUGACGGUAUCCAACCAGAAAGUCACGGCUAACUACGUGCCAGCAGCCGCGGUUAAUAA
rnacentral:rRNA from 2 species